UACGUAGGGUGCGAGCGUUGUCCGGAAUUAUUGGGCGUAAAGAGCUCGUAGGCGGUUUGUCGCGUCUGCCGUGAAAGUCCGGGGCUCAACUCCGGAUCUGCGGUGGGUACGGGCAGACUAGAGUGAUGUAGGGGAGACUGGAAUUCCUGGUGUAGCGGUGAAAUGCGCAGAUAUCAGGAGGAACACCGAUGGCGAAGGCAGGUCUCUGGGCAUUAACUGACGCUGAGGUGCGAAAGCAUGGGGAGCGAACAGG
rnacentral:rRNA from 1 species